GACGAUCGCUGGCGGCGUGCCUAACACAUGCAAGUCGAGCGAAGUUAUUCCUUCGGGGAUAACUUAGCGGCGGACGGGUGAGUAACACGUGGAUAACCUGCCUUAUAGAGGGGGAUAGCCUUCCGAAAGGAAGAUUAAUACCGCAUACCAUCAGAUUCUCGCAUGGGGAUUUGAUUAAAGGAGUAAUCCGCUAUAAGAUGGACCCGCGGCGCAUUAGCUAGUUGGUGAGGUAACGGCUCACCAAGGCGACGAUGCGUAGCCGACCUGAGAGGGUGAUCGGCCACAUUGGGACUGAGACACGGCCCAGACUCCUACGGGAGGCAGCAGUGGGGAAUAUUGCACAAUGGGGGAAACCCUGAUGCAGCAACGCCGCGUGAGUGAUGAAGGCCUUCGGGUUGUAAAGCUCUGUCUUUGGGGACGAUAAUGACGGUACCCAAGGAGGAAGCCACGGCUAACUACGUGCCAGCCGCCGCGGUAAAAC
rnacentral:rRNA from 1 species